UUGUCCGGAUUUAUUGGGUUUAAAGGGUACGCAGGCGGGACUUUAAGUCAGUGGUGAAAGCCUCCAGCUUAACUGGAGAAUUGCCAUUGAAACUGAAGUUCUUGAGUAUGGAUGAGGUGGUUGGAAUAUAACAUGUAGCGGUGAAAUGCAUAGAUAUGUUAUAGAACACCAAUUGCGAAGGCAGAUCACUAAACCAUUACUGACGCUGAGGUACGAGAGCGUGGGGAGCGAACAGGAUUAGAUACCCUGGUAGUCCACGCCGUAAACGAUGUUCACUCGCUGUUGGCGAUAUACUGUCAGCGGCCAAGCGAAAGCAUUAAGUGAACCACCUGGGGAGUACGAUCGCAAGGUUGAAACUCAAAGGAAUUGACGGGGGCCCGCACAAGCGGUGGAGCAUGUGGUUUAAUUCGAUGAUACGCGAGGAACCUUACCAGGGCUUAAAUGUAAGUUGCAUUAGUUAGAGAUAGCUAUUUCUUCGGACCACUUACAAGGUGCUGCAUGGUU
rnacentral:rRNA from 1 species